ACGAACGCUGGCGGCGUGCUUCACACCUGCAAGUCGCACGGAAAGGCCCUGCUUUUGUGGGGUGCUCGAGUGGCGAACGGGGGAGUAACACGUGAGUAACCUGCCCUUGACUUUGGGAUAACUUCAGGAAACUGGGGCUAAUACCGGAUAGGAGCUCCUGCUGCAUGGUGGGGGUUGGAAAGUUUCGGCGGUUGGGGAUGGACUCGCGGCUUAUCAGCUUGUUGGUGGGGUAGUGGCUUACCAAGGCUUUGACGGGUAGCCGGCCUGAGAGGGUGACCGGCCACAUUGGGACUGAGAUACGGCCCAGACUCCUACGGGAGGCAGCAGUGGGGAAUAUUGCACAAUGGGCGGAAGCCUGAUGCAGCAACGCCGCGUGCGGGAUGACGGCCUUCGGGUUGUAAACCGCUUUCGCCUGUGACGAAGCGUGAGUGACGGUAAUGGGUAAAGAAGCACCGGCUAACUACGUG
rnacentral:rRNA from 1 species